rnacentral:rRNA from 1 species
UACGGAGGGGGCUAGCGUUGUUCGGAAUUACUGGGCGUAAAGCGCACGUAGGCGGCUUUGUAAGUUAGAGGUGAAAGCCCGGGGCUCAACUCCGGAAUUGCCUUUAAGACUGCAUCGCUAGAAUUGUGGAGAGGUAAGUGGAAUUCCGAGUGUAGAGGUGAAAUUCGUAGAUAUUCGGAGGAACACCGAUGGCGAAGGCAAUCCCCUGGACCUGUACUGACGCUCAUGCACGAAAGCGUGGGGAGCAAACAGG